rnacentral:lncRNA from 1 species
AGUACUGUUCGUAAAAGUCCCCUACGAAACUGCUUCUAAACACACAUAUGUUUGCAAUUUUAAAUGUUUCCUAUAGACAUUCAAGUUUGUUUACUUUAUAUACUAGGAAAAUCUAUUUUUUUCUGAAUUGGAGAACCAUUUUUUAUCGAUGAAGAUUAGACAGUACUUCACAUAUGAAGGUACAAUUCGUGUUACGUAGUGGACAUUUUGAUGCGUUUCGUAGGUGACAAAUCCGUUUCGUAGUGGACAAAAAGUUUCGUAGUUGACAUCAACCCUAUUCUAUGUUAAUAA